UAACACACUUCAAAACAGACAACAUUAUUUGCAAACAUGGAUGGAUGAGUCAAAAAGAGACGUAUACCUUGUGCCAUACAUUGAUGGGUAGGUGUUGUUAUAUGUGGCCAGUUCAUUAUUAUAGUUUCCUUAAUUACUUAAAUAACUAUUUAUCCUUUAUGAUAGCAUGCACUGGCAGCUGAUGGUCAUCAUUCCCAAAGCAUGUAAAAUUAUAUGGUUUUGUUCGUUGCAUAGGAAGAUGAAAAAUGACUUGAGAACAAUGCUUCAAGGAGUUAUUGGUAAAUCACGUGGUCAACUGGUUCAAAUUUUGUAUCCAAAGUGUAACCAGCAGCUAGAUUCAUGGGAAUGUGGCUUCUAUGUGAUGUGUUGGAUUAAGACCAUCA